AGAGUUUCACCCUAAGAAGAAAGGGGAAGCAGGUGGAAAAGCAAUUAAAAAAAAAUCAGAUUCUCUUUCGGUGAUUCAGAGCUGAAGGUGCCUCACUGCCCUGUGGAACAGGUGAAUAAAGCCUUCCCAGCAUCUCUCUCUAGCCUAUUAUCUCCUGUUAGACACAGCCCAGAAAAUGAAUAGAGACAAGUCCUGGCUGGGUCUGGGUUCAGAAACAUAAUAGAAGGAUUCAUCUAAUGGAAGGGAAUUCUUUCCACAGUUGCUAGUUCCUCACACCUCUGCCUCUAUGGGAUUCUCCUGGUCCCCACAUGCUCUGCUGUGUCUUCUAGCUGUCGGCCACUGUGGAGGAAGUGAACCUUCUAGAUCCUGCUGACUCAUACAAUGAGUUUUGUGUGGACCAUCAGACAAAAGGGCUGGCUGGUGAAGGUGGCUGUUGUCUGGAAAUUCCUCCCAGCUCUCCUCUAAUUAUGUCAUAAGGACUGGAGGCCCCUUAGCCUGCUUGUGAUAACACGCAAGGAAAUAUGGGCCAACUCUUCACAUGAACACAAGAUAUUUCCAUGCUAGCCUUUUGCAAGUAACAACAGAGAGAGCUCUGUGCAGUUUUCACUGGAAUGCCUGUGGAUUGCUUGUGUCAUAACUGUAAUCUAAAGAGUUGUCCAUUUGUUGAUUCCUUUGUAUUUGUAUUGGUAGAAUUGCCACUAUCAAACCAAGAUCUUUAGCUGCCUUUGUAUCAACUUCUUUGGAGCUUAUGUGAUUUUCCAGAAAAUUUCCAAGGCAUAGUUUUGUCCCUAAGUCCCAUGAAUAUGUAAUAUUUUGUGUCUCUCUAUUAAAAUAGCACUUUUUGUGCAUUCCAUUAACAAAUAUAUGUGUAUGUGUCUGUGUGUGGACAAACAUAUCAAUUACUUCACCCA
rnacentral:lncRNA from 1 species